GGAGGGAUGCGAGAGCGGCCGAAUCGGAUGGUCUCGAAAACCAUUGACCUUACGGGGUCCGUGGGUUCAAAUCCCACUCCCUCCG
rnacentral:tRNA from 2 species